rnacentral:rRNA from 1 species
UACGUAGGGGGCGAGCGUUAUCCGGAUUUACUGGGUGUAAAGGGAGCGUAGACGGCGGCGCAAGUCUGAAGUGAAAGCCCGUGGCUCAACCGCGGAACCGCUUUGGAAACUGCGAGGCUGGAGUGCUGGAGAGGUAAGCGGAAUUCCUGGUGUAGCGGUGAAAUGCAUAGAUAUCACACAGAACACCGAUUGCGAAGGCAUCUCACGAAUCCGCGAUUGACGCUGAUGCACGAAAGCGUGGGUAUCAAACAGG